ACCGACUCCUACGGGAGGCAGCAGUGAGGAAUAUUGGUCAAUGGGCGCGAGCCUGAACCAGCCAAGUCGCGUGAGGGACGACGGCCCUACGGGUUGUAAACCUCUUUUGCCGGGGAGCAACGGGCGCCACGUGUGGCGCCACUGAGAGUACCCGGAGAAAAAGCAUCGGCUAACUCCGUGCCAGCAGCCGCGGUAAUACGGAGGAUGCGAGCGUUAUCCGGAUUUAUUGGGUUUAAAGGGUGCGCAGGCGGAAGAUCAAGUCAGCGGUAAAAUUGAGGGGCUCAACCUCUUCGAGCCGUUGAAACUGGUUUUCUUGAGUGAGUGAGAAGUAUGCGGAAUGCGUGGUGUAGCGGUGAAAUGCAUAGAUAUCACGCAGAACUCCGAUUGCGAAGGCAGCGCACCGGCGCCCUACUGACGCUCAGGCACGAAAGCGUGGGUAUCGAACAGGAUUAGAUACCCCCGUAAC
rnacentral:rRNA from 1 species